UACGUAGGCAGCAAGCGUUGUUCGGAAUUACUAGGCGUAAAGAGUGUGUAGGCGGUGCUCCAAGUCUGGUGUGAAAUCUCCCGGCUUAACUGGGAGGGUGCAUUAGAAACUGGAAUGCUAGAGGAUGGGAGAGGUAAGCGGAAUUCCUGGUGUAGCGGUGAAAUGCGUAGAUAUCAGGAGGAACACCUGUGGUGUAGACAGCUUACUGGACCAUUUCUGACGCUGAGACACGAAAGCGUGGGUAGCAAACAGG
rnacentral:rRNA from 1 species